UGCCCCGUCGUCUAACGGUAAGACAGCGGACUCUGACUCCGUCAAUCGAGGUUCGAAUCCUCGCGGGGCAUCCA
rnacentral:tRNA from 1 species